UUUGAUCCGGAGAUUUCCGAAUGGGGAAACCCACCGAAAGGUAUCGUAUUCUGAAUACAUAGGGAUACGAGGCGAACCGGGUGAACUGAAACAUCUCAGUAGCUCGAGGAAAAGACAUCAACCGAGAUUCCGAAAGUAGUGGCGAGCGAAAUCGGAGUAGCCCUCGCGUUUUAGCAGUUUGUAUAUCAGAACGGAAUGGAAAGUCCGGCCACAGCGGGUGAUAGCCCCGUAUGAGAAAUGCAGAUUGUGGAACUAGGCGCGAAUAGAGUAGGGCGGGACACGUGAAAUCCUGUCUGAACAUGGGGGGACCACCCUCCAAGCCUAAGUACUCCUUACCGACCGAUAGUGAACAAGUACCGUGAGGGAAUGAUGAAAAGAACCCCGAUGAGGGGAGUGAAACAGAUCCUGAAACCGGAUGCCUACAAGCUGAUGGAGCUCUUCGGAGUGACAUCGUACCUUUUGUAUAAUGGGUCAGCGACUUAGUGUUGCGUGCAAGCUUAAGCCGAUAGGUGUAGGCACAGCGAAAGCGAGUCUUAAUAGGGCGACUGAGUUCGAGGGAUGAGACCCGAAGCCGGGUGAUCUAGCCAUGAGCAGGUUGAAGGUGCAGUAACAUGCACUGGAGGACCGAACCCACGUCUGUUGAAAAAGACGGGGAUGACUUGUGGCUAGGGGUGAAAGGCCAAUCAAACUCGGAAAUAGCUGGUUCUCCGCGAAAUCUAUUUAGGUAGAGCGUCUCGUGAAUACCCAUGGGGGUAGAGCACUGGAUGGGCUAGGGGGUCCCAACGACUUACCAAACCUAACCAAACUCCGAAUACCAUGGAGUACUGCGAGGCAGACACACUGCGGGUGCUAAGGUCCGUAGUGAAGAGGGAAACAGCCCUGACCGCCAGCUAAGGUCCCUAAGUUAUCACUAAGUGGGAAACGAUGUGGGAGUGCUUAGACAACCAGGAGGUUGGCUUAGAAGCAGCCAUCCUUUAAAGA
rnacentral:rRNA from 11 species